UUGGAGAACGGAGUGUCAGGAAGACGCCGUCAGCGUCGGGGAAGAUGGUGCAAAUCCAUCACGGUGCCGCCACUGUAAGCGGGGAGUGACUCUGCACGGAGCCACUGUUCGAGGAAGUCGUUAGCCAUCAGCGUGAAGCUGUUUGCUGAAAGCUGAGUGCUGAGAACUUCUUCGGUCGGGAAGGCGCGGAGCCGCGACGAUCCGUAAGUCAGGAGACCCAACUGACGGCUGUUACGACUG
rnacentral:ncRNA from 1 species